rnacentral:rRNA from 1 species
UACGUAGGGCGCAAGCGUUGUCCGGAAUUAUUGGGCGUAAAGGGCUCGUAGGCGGUUCGUCACGUCGGGAGUGAAAACUCGGAGCUUAACUCCGAGCCUGCUUCCGAUACGGGCAGACUAGAGGUAGGCAGGGGAGAGCGGAACUCCUGGUGUAGCGGUGAAUGCGCAGAUAUCAGGAGGAACACCGGUGGCGAAGGCGGGUCUCUGGGCCGAUACUGACGGCUGAGGAGCGAAAGCGUGGGGAGCGAACGGG